UACGGAGGGUGCAAGCGUUGUUCGGAUUUAUUGGGCGUAAAGCGCGUGUAGGCGGUUUCUUAAGUCUGAUGUGAAAGCCCUGGGCUCAACCCAGGAAGUGCAUUGGAUACUGGGAAACUUGAAUACGGGAGAGGGUAGUGGAAUUCCUAGUGUAGGAGUGAAAUCCGUAGAUAUUAGGAGGAACACCGGUGGCGAAGGCGGCUACCUGGGACCGAUAUUGACGCUGAGACGCGAAAGCGUGGGGAGCAAACAGG
rnacentral:rRNA from 1 species